CCUANGGGGGGCUGCAGGCGCGGAAUCUUUACAAUGCACGCAAGUGUGAUAAGGGAACCCCAAGUGCUAAUGUUUCACAUUGGCUUUUGCCAAGAGCAAAUAUCUUGGCGAAUAAGGAGUGGGCAAGACUGGUGCCAGCCGCCGCGGUAACACCAGCGCUUCAAGUUGCAAUCGCGUAUUUGGUCUAAAGCGUCCGUAGCUGGUCGUGUAAAUCUUUUGUGAAAUUGUUGGGCUUAACCUAACGAAUUGCAGGAGAGACUGCACAACUUGGGACCAGGAGGGGUUUGGAGUAUUCUUGGGGGAGCGGUAAAAUGCUAUAAUCCCAAGAGGACUACCUGUGGCGAAGGCGCCAAACCAGAAUGGAUCCGACGGUGAGGGACGAAAGCGAGGGGAGCAAACCGGAUUAGAUACCCGANUANUC
rnacentral:rRNA from 1 species